GUGCUUUCUGGGGUCCUUCAGCAGCAGUGCAAUGAGGAGCAUGCACAGGAGAGAUUCUAUUUUCCUUGGAUGGCUUUCUUGAGCCUUGGAAAUCUGGCUCACCAGGAAUUCUAGGCUUCUGUUGUCCCUUGCUUCCUAUCUACCAAAAGCACAAUGAUGCCUUUCUUUUUACUCACAUUUGAUGACAUCCAUAGUGAGAAACAGCAGUUCCACUGUCCAACACCAGGAAAUGUUCUGACUGUUUCACCGCUCCAGCUAAUACUUACAGAGAGAAUGUGAGUGGAAACUAUACGAGCUGCUAACGGGACAAGGCAUUUAAGAAUCAUCCGAGUUCUGCUCUUCUUGCUGGCUGGAGGCAUGCCCUCAGAACUUUUAAUCUUUAUGAAACAUUUGAAGACCUCGAGAAAGGACAAUACCCUUGGUUCUAUACAGAUGCUGUCAUGAAUUCAUCUUAUAUCAGUUUCAUAAAUCUGAGAAAACAAACUAGAGAGAAGGCAACACAUAUUUCAUUUUAGCUGUGAGCAACUUCCAUUGUGAAUCAAGGAUUCAUUCAAAAUACAUCUGGUAUGAGGUUUUGCUUUUCACAGAAUGGCAACAUCUAACCUCAUCACACAGAAUCCAUGUAGUCAAAUACCAUUGAGGAUAGUUGUGUGGUCACUAUGUUGUAAUAUCAGACAAAGAUGACAGUGAAUCUGCAAAAGAAGAAAGCAUUCUGAGAACCACUGAUUCCAGAGCAGGUGAAGGUA
rnacentral:lncRNA from 10 species